GACGAACGCUGGCGGCGUGCUUAACACAUGCAAGUCGAACGGUUCAGAAGAGCUUGCUCUUUUGAUCAGUGGCGAACGGGUGAGUAACACGUGAGCAACCUACCCUUGACUCUGGGAUAACAGUUGGAAACAGCUGCUAAUACCGGAUAGGACCUCGGCCGACAUCGGCGGACGUGGAAGGUUCUGGCGGUCAAGGAUGGGCCCGCGGCCUAUCAGCUAGUUGGGGAGGUAACGGCACACCAAGGCUUCGACGGGUAGCCGGCCUGAGAGGGCGACCGGCCACACUGGGACUGAGAUACGGCCCAGACUCCUACGGGAGGCAGCAGUGGGGAAUAUUGCACAAUGGGCGAAAGCCUGAUGCAGCAACGCCGCGUGCGGGAUGACGGCCUUCGGGUUGUAAACCGCUUUCAGCUCCGACGAAGCGCAAGUGACGGUAGGAGCAGAAGAAGGACCGGCCAACUACGUGCCAGCAGCCGCAGUAAGAC
rnacentral:rRNA from 1 species